rnacentral:rRNA from 1 species
UACGAAGGGGGCUAGCGUUGUUCGGAGUUACUGGGCGUAAAGGGCGCGUAGGCGGCCCUCCAAGUCGGGCGUGAAAGCCCACGGCUCAACCGUGGAAUUGCGCUCGAGACUGAAGGGCUCGAGGACGGGAGAGGAUGGUAGAAUUCCCAGUGUAGCGGUGAAAUGCGUAGAUAUUGGGAGGAACACCAGUGGCGAAGGCGGCUCACUGGACCGGUUCUGACGCUGAGGCGCGAAAGCGUGGGGAGCAAACGGG